UAGAGUUUGAUUAUGGCUCAGGACCAUUGCUGGCGGCGCGCCUAACACAUGCAAGUCGAACGGAGCUCAUAUUUCAGAAGUUUUCGGAUGGACGAGAGAUAAGCUUAGUGGCGGACGGGUGAGUAACACGUGAGCAACCUGCCUUUCAGAGGGGGAUAACAGUUGGAAACGACUGCUAAUACCGCAUAACGCUGCGAUGGGGCAUCCCGAUGCAGCCAAAGGAGCAAUCCGCUGAAAGAUGGGCUCGCGGCCGAUUAGCUAGUUGGUGGGGCAACGGCCCACCAAGGCGACGAUCGGUAGCCGGACUGAGAGGUUGAUCGGCCACAUUGGGACUGAGACACGGCCCAGACUCCUACGGGAGGCAGCAGUGGGGGAUAUUGCACAAUGGAGGAAACUCUGAUGCAGCGACGCCGCGUGAGGGAAGACGGUCUUCGGAUUGUAAACCUCUGUCUUUGGGGAAGAAAAUGACGGUACCCAAAGAGGAAGCUCCGGCUAACUACGUGCCAGCAGCCGCGGUAAUACGUAGGGAGCGAGCGUUGUCCGGAAUUACUGGGUGUAAAGGGAGCGUAGGCGGGCGAGAAAGUUGAAUGUUAAAUCUACCGGCUUAACUGGUAGCUGCGUUCAAGACUUCUUGUCUUGAGUGAAGUAGAGGCAGGCGGAAUUCCUAGUGUAGCGGUGAAAUGCGUAAAUAUUAGGAGGAACACCAGUGGCGAAGGCGGCCUGCUGGGCUUUACCUGACCCUGAGGC
rnacentral:rRNA from 1 species